GAGUUUGAUCCUGGCUCAGGAUGAACGCUGGCGGCGUGCUUAACACAUGCAAGUCGAACGGGAAACCUUUUAUUGAAGCUUCGGCAGAUUUAGAUUGUUUCUAGUGGCGGACGGGUGAGUAACGCGUGGGUAACCUGCCCUAUACAGGGGGAUAACAACCAGAAAUGGUUGCUAAUACCGCAUAAGCGCACGGGACCGCAUGGUCCAGUGUGAGAAACUCCGGUGGUAUAGGAUGGACCCGCGUUGGAUUAGCUAGUUGGUGGGGUAACGGCUCACCAAGGCGACGAUCCAUAGCCGGCCUGAGAGGGUGAACGGCCACAUUGGGACUGAGACACGGCCCAGACUCCUACGGGAGGCAGCAGUGGGGAAUAUUGCACAAUGGGGGGAACCCUGAUGCAGCGACGCCGCGUGAAGGAAGAAGUAUCUCGGUAUGUAAACUUCUAUCAGCAGGGAAGAUAGUGACGGUACCUGACUAAGAAGCCCCGGCUAACUACGUGCCAGCCGCCGCGGUAAUAC
rnacentral:rRNA from 1 species